GAUGAAGAACGUAGUGAAAUGCGAUAAGUAAUGUGAAUUGCAGAAUUCAGUGAAUCAUCGAAUCUUUGAACGCACAUUGCGCCCAUUAGUAUUCUAGUGGGCAUGCCUGUUCGAGCGUCAUUAAGUCCACUUAAGCCCUGCUUAGUGUUGGGAGACUGCUCCAGCGGUGCUACCCUGUAGCUACCCUGCAGCUCCUCAAAGACAGCGGCGGAGUUGUGGUAUCCUCUGAGCUUAGUAACUUGUUCUAGCUUUCGAGUACACCUCUUCCCCUGCCGUAAAACCCUUAAUUUUUAAUGGUUGACCUCGGAUCAGGUAGGAAUACCCGCUGAACUUAAGCAUAUCAAUAAGCGGAGGA
rnacentral:misc_RNA from 1 species